AGAUUCCUCACACUGGUAAAUAAGAGGCUUCUCAGGACUGAACUUGAAAAACAUGAGCCCCACCAAGGGCGGGACAAGAAAAUCCUCAGAAGACGGCUGAGCAGAGGUUAAGCAAACAUCGGUGCCAAGCCAGUGGCAGCUCGAUGGCGUUCAUGGUCAUUUCCUGUAACUAAAAAAAGUGAAAAGAGAAAUCAAUUCUGAUUCUGCUGUUGACUAGCUGUGUGAUCUCAGAUGCUGCCCUGGGAGUAACAGAUGAAGUAUGUGCUGUCUGUGAGGAGGUUCCCAUCCAUGCAGACAUUCCUGUCCUGAACCUUGUACUGGACAACUAAACAAGCAUCAAACAAAUCCAAGUGUCAAGAAAUGAAAGCCCAGAGAUGCGAUGAUUUUUAAGAGUUGAACUGAGCUGCAAGCAUGUGGAUCAUGUAAGUGCUAACAGAGGCAGACGGAGAAGGAAGAUCUGCCAUGAAGUGCUAUGGUGGGAGGUGCGUCAGCUUGGGGUGGAGGGGUCCCAGGUGGCCCCAGAAGAAGAGGCCUCUGAACAAAGAAGACAAUGCUUGGGUUACGGUGGAGGGGACAUGGAAGGUGAGUGUUUUCUUCUUAUAAUUCUAGAAUGGUAGGGCUCCAAGAGUCCUCAGCAAUCUUCCAACUGAAAAAACUCAUUUGAAAUAUGGGAAAAUGAAGUAUACAACAAAUUAGAGACUUGGCGAGGAAAAAGGAUCCAGUUAGCAACAGAGGUGGGAUUUGAACAGGUUUUCCAUUUCCAACCUCACCAUUCUUUCUCUUGUCUCUAUUCCAAACUGAAUGACUCUCCGAGUGUGCCAGUGGGAAGUAAGCUUCUUUUCCCCAAACCAGACACUUUGUCAGACGGCACAGCCUUUCCUUAAGAGCUGCAGCUCACGUGGUGCCAGUUUCAGAUGCCAGUGUUAGCUGCUUACUCCUUGGGGUCUCCUAGGCCAGUCCCAUGGCUUUAUUACUUAGCCAGGCCAAGAGUUGGAGAGACUAGUUGCUGAGAAAUAUAAGAUUUGAGGGAUAUUUUGUGGUUUGGAUUUCCCUCGAAGCAGAAUCUGAAAUGAGGAAUUGAGGGCAAGUCAUUUAUUUGGUAGGUGAUCCCAGGAAACACCACCUUGGAAGUGAGACAGGGAAGAGGAGGGAGGAAGCCAAUAAAUGAUGUGUUAUCAAACCAGUCACCACCAUGGGCAACUGGACCUUGGUUCUGCUAGGGUACUCGGGGAGACCAUGUAGAACAGGUACCUUAGAGCAGGUUUCACAAACUCUGUACUGUUGAUAUCUGGGGCUGGAUAAUUCUUGGUUUAGGGGAUUGUCCUUUGUGCUGUCAGAUGGUCAGUAGCAUCCUGAACUGUACCCAUUAGAUGCAAGUCGCAACUCCUCCCUACCCCUCCUCCCACCUGUUGUGACAAUCUAAAAGUUCUCUAAACAUUGUCAAAUAUCCCCUGGGGGAAUCAUUUGUGAAGGAUUGAGAAACCACUACCUUAGAGUUAUCCCGUUUAAGGGACAAGGAAGCUGGGGUAUAUUUAUCCUCUGACUCCCUGUCUGUCACUGGUAGCAGGCUGUUUCUUGGGGGCAUUGACCUUCUAGAAUUCAUUGGCCAGGCACGUUAUCUUUAUCAGAAAAAAAGUAUUCAGGCCAAGAUUUUCAGGAAAACGGCUCUUGGCGUUUAGAGGAGAGUUCUGAAUGUAUAUGAGUGAGGCAGAGAAAACACCUAAGAUUCUAGUCAUUUGGGCAUAUGCUUUAUCAUUCAUUCAUUUAGCCAUCAUUUCUUCACCAUUCUACAAAUGUUUAUCAAGGACCUACUGUGUGCUAGAUGCCAGGCACAACAUAGGAGAUUCAAUGUCCAAUGAUGAGCAAAAAAUGGAUACAGCUCCUGCCUUUAUGCCUUUUGAAGUAACAGUCUAGAGGAGCAAUGAACAUUAAUCAAGUAACACAAAUGAAUUUUUAAAUCAUAUAGUGAUAGUGCUAUGAUAAGCUACAAAGUACUGAAAUAAGUCAUACUACAUUGGCUAUUCUUCCAACACCCUGUCUUCAGGGCAUUGGCAAUUGUCAUUCCCUCUAUUGGGAACAUUUUUCUUCCAGGUAGCAGAGCUUGGUUUUUCUCUGCAUUUAGGGUGUAGUUAAGUGGUCCUCUCUUCAGAGGAGCUUCAGAGACCACUUAACUUUGACCACUUUAUCUAAAAUAGUGCUUGGCCCUUUCACCCUUUACUCUGUUCAUUUCUUGUUCAUAGCACCUGUCAUACCUGACAGAGGUAUUUUUAUUGUUAAUUUUUUGUCCCUCCCUGGCAUGUCAAUUGUCUCAUUGCCUUUACAUCCCUAGCAACUAGGUCAAUGCCUGGAACUUAGUAGGUAUUCAAUAAAUACUUGUUGUAUGAAUAAUCAAGAGGGAUUGACUUGGUGAGGUCAGGGAAAACUUUCUUAAGGCAAUAGCAAUAAGCCAAGAUCUAAAGAGAUAAGGAAUUACCUGGAUGAAGGGGAUAGGGAAAAGCAUUCUACACAGGAGGAAUAGCAUGCUGAAUGGCUCUGUGGGUAGGAAGAAGCACGGAGAUCCUAAAGAGCUAAAAGAAGGACUGUGCACAUGGAACAGAGAGAAGCUGGAGCCAUUAGUUAGGAUUUUAAGCUUCAGAGUAAAAACAACAGAAAGCCAUUGAUACGUUUUAAGCAAUGGAAAGUUGUACAUGAGAAGGUGGAAGAAGGGUGGAAAACACAACCAGAUUUUUAUUUAAAAAAGAUCAUCUGGUUUCAGGGUCUGGAAUACUGGAAGGAGCCAAGAGCAGACGCCAUCUUGGUGAUGUGUUUCAUCUUCAGGACCUGAGACCCAUCUGGUCAAAUAUUUGUGUGUAUAUGGAAAAUUUUAGGUCAUUUGUUAAAAGGAGCUCAUGAAUACAUGUCCUUGACUUCCCAGGGAUGGAUGGAAAAAACACUUCUCUCCCCCAAAGAACUUCCAAAUAGUGCUUUUAGCCUAUGCUCCUCAUCAGUGUCCAUGUCUCUUGGAUGUCUCUAGUUUUGGUUGAGGAAUGAGGAACUGUGGUUGCCUCCUUUUAUUGGCUGAUUCAUCUGCUGAGCUCCUAACUUCUUAGCUAAUCUAGAUAAAACCAACCCUUGCCUGGACCCUGGGCUUUUGUGGAGGACUGUCUUACUGUUCACAAAUACUUCGCUUUUUCCAUGGGAAGAUAAUCUAUCCCUGCCUGUUGAAAUUGGGUAUGGACAAUGACUUGCUUGGUUGUCUAAUAAAAUGUGAGCAGAAAGGAUAUGUGUCACUUCUGAGCCAAAAGUUUUCAGAGCCAGUGCAUGGUUGGCCAUGUUUUCUCUUGCCUUUGUAGGCACGCAAUAAAUGUUUGUUGAAAAAAGAUGAAUAAAAGGAAAGAGCCCCAAUUAGGAGCUGGGUUAGCUAAGGCCUAUUCCCAGAGUUUCCACUAACUAGCUGUGGCAUAAUCAUUUUGCUACUCUACUGGCCAUAAAUGGUUCUUUGUUAUUUUGAAAUGGAGUCUUACUCUGUCACCCAGGCUGGAAUGCAGUGGCACAGUCUCUGCUCACUGCAACCUCCACCUCCCAGGUUCAAGCAAUUCUCCUGCCUCAGCCUCCCAAGUAGCUGGGAUUACAGGUGCACACCGCCACGCCUGGCUAAUUUUUAUAUUUUUAGUAGAGAUGGUGUUUCACCAUAUUGGCCAGGCUGGUCUUGAACUCCUGACCUCAAGUGAUCUGCCAGCCUUGGGCUCCCAAAGUGCAUAAAUGGUUCUUAAGAUUUCUUUUUUUUUUUUUUUCUGAGACGGGGGAGGGUCUUGCUAUGUUGCCCAGGCUAGUCUUGCACUGUUGAGUUCAGGCGAUACUCCUGCCUCUGCCUUGGAGUAGUUGGGACUAUAGACGUGAGCCACCAUGCCCAGCUCAGGAUUCUUUCAUUUCUAAAACCCUGUGCAGAUAUUGCAGAAGUAAAGUGAUGAUUUUUGGAUGCUUAUUGGAAGUCUUGUUCAUGCUGGUAAAUAGGGAAAAGACUUGGGUGGGGGUAGGGAGCACUGAUUGGCAAGUUAUUUUGUGUUUUUAAAACAAAAAUCGCUCUUCGGGGUGGUGCACUAUUCCCAGAUUUUCUCUGGAAGCUGUGUUCCAUCACCUUUCUCAGACUCCCUCACACUCCCCCUCAGGACAUUAGAGGAAGGGCCCCCGAAUUCAUUCUUGCAGCAAAGAGCCUCAAGACUCUGCUCAGACCAGGAAAUGAGGGACCUGUUCCUACAAAUUGCUGUCAAAAUGUAUUCUUAAUACGUGUUCUCUGGAGUCACUGUUUUGGUGACCUCAGUCCCUGAAGGCUCCUCCUGGGGGCGAUAGGAUGCCUUCAGAGGGGAGCUGACAGCCCUGUGUUGUGUCUGGGCUCGUGGGAGGCCAUCGCUGUCUCCAUUGGAGCCAGAUGUUUCCCCAGCCCUUAACCUGCUGUGGUUUCUUAGCUCACCGUCUCCAGUGCGACUCUCCCACAACACCCAGCGCCAUCUUGUAGAUGCGCUGAUGCUUCCGGACCGCGGGCGCCCCACAGGGAAGAGCGCUCCAAGCUGAAGAGGAAGGAAACUUCACACUUAAUUCAUCAAAUUCAAACCGAGCUGUGGUGAAAGGAACAGUGCGGAGUGAAAGGAACACCCACAUGCCCCAGAAGACCCCGGGGCAUCGCUGCCUUUCAGCUUCUUUUGCGCUUCCUGCAGUUCGUGUCACAUUCCAAGGACACUCAGCUCUGCGCACAUGCACAGAGGGCCGCUUCUGUCCCGGGGGCGUGUUACCUAAAACCAGGCGCUGACCUCCAGGUCAGGAACUCUUGAGUAUUUAAUCUCUCUGCCGUUCAUGGCUACCUGGGUGGCCUCUGAAAUAUUACUUAAUGUCUCUGGGUUCUGAUUUCCUUAAUUGUGUAGUACCCAGUGACCUUAUGAUGACAUUUCCCUACCUACGAAAAA